GUACUCGCUUCAGUAGCACAUACACUAAAAUUGGAACAAUACAGAGAUUAGCAGGGCCCCUACACAAGGAUGACACACACGUUUGUGAAGCGUUCCAUGUUUAA